UACGUAGGGGGCAAGCGUUGUCCGGAUUUAUUGGGCGUAAAGAGCGUGUAGGCGGCCAUACAGGUCAGCUGUGAAAACUCGAGGCUCAACCUCGAGACGUCGGUUGAAACCGUAUGGCUAGAGUCCGGAAGAGGAGAGUGGAAUUCCCGGUGUAGCGGUGAAAUGCGCAGAUAUCGGGAAGAACACCGAUGGCGAAGGCAGAUCUCUGGGCCGUAACUGACGCUGAGGAGCGAAAGCGUGGGGAGCGAACAGG
rnacentral:rRNA from 1 species